rnacentral:rRNA from 1 species
GCAGCAGUGAGGAAUAUUGGUCAAUGGGCGCAAGCCUGAACCCAGCCAUGCCGCGUGCAGGAAGACGGCUCUAUGAGUUGUAAACUGCUUUUGUACGGGGGUAAACCCGGAUACGCGUAUCCGGCUGAAAGUACCGUACGAAUAAGGACCGGCUAACUCCGUGCCAGCAGCCGCGGUAAUACGGAAAAAAACAAGCGUUAUCCGGAUUUAUUGGGUUUAAAGGGUGCGUAGGCGGUUUGUUAAGUUAGAGGUGAAAUCCCGGUGCUCAACACCGGAACUGCCUCUGAUACUGGCAGGCUAGAGAGAGGUUGCUGUGGGCGGAAUGUGUGGUGUAGCGGUGAAAUGCUUAGAGAUCACACAGAACACCGAUUGCGAAGGCAGCUCACAAAGCCUUAUCUGACGUUGAGGCACGAAAGCGUGGGGAGCAAACAGGAUUAGAUACCCUGGUAGUCCACGCCGUAAACGAUGAUAACUCGUUGCUGGCGAUACACAGUCA